rnacentral:rRNA from 1 species
CACGUAGGGUGCGAGCGUUGAUCCGGAAUUAUUGGGCGUAAAGAGCUCGUAGGCGGUGCGUCGCGUCGGCCGUGAAAACCUGCAGCUUAACUGUGGGCUUGCGGUCGAUACGGGCAUCACUGGAGUUCGGCAGGGGAGACUGGAAUUCCUGGUGUAGCGGUGAAAUGCGCAGAUAUCAGGAGGGAACACCGGUGGGCCGAAGGCGGGUCUCUGGGCCGUAACUGACGCUGGAGGAG